rnacentral:rRNA from 1 species
UACGUAGGGGGCAAGCGUUGUCCGGAUUCAUUGGGCGUAAAGCGCGUGUAGGCGGCCAGGUAGGUCUGGUGUGAAAACUCGAGGCUCAACCUCGAGAGGUCAUCGGAAACCAUCUGGCUAGAGUCCGGAAGAGGAGAGUGGAAUUCCUGGUGUAGCGGUGAAAUGCGCAGAUAUCAGGAAGAACACCAAUGGCGAAAGCAGCUCUCUGGGACGGUACUGACGCUGAGACGCGAAAGCGUGGGGAGCGAACAGG